rnacentral:lncRNA from 1 species
CCACCACCUGGACCUGCCCACCACCCCCCGCCAUGUCACCGACGCCAGGGACAUUUUGUUCGGCAACUUCAACUUCUUCCCCGACUUCCAUAAGAAUGUCCUCAUCGAGGGGCUGAGGUACAACGCGGAGACACCGCGUCUCAUUGGCAAGACUUUCCUGCGCCUGGAGCGAGACUUCGACCAGCA